UACCCCUCUCAACCCCGUUUGUUUUUCGGAACGAAUGGCAGGGUUGGAUCGUGACUUUUUGUUGGCCUGGCUUAACCCUUCAUCGGGCACAAAGCAGGGACCCAACUGGGUUGAAUAGCAACAAGCUGAAUCCAACUCAGCGGCUUGACCUGUUGUCGUAACUUAAAAAACUCAAUAGGGACGCUGAUAGUAGAACGAGCUUACCAGAAAUUUGUUUCAUUAC
rnacentral:misc_RNA from 1 species